rnacentral:lncRNA from 1 species
UUCAACCUGAACUUUACAUUCGAUGAAAUAAACAAGCCGCAGAGUGCUAGGCAAUAGUAGUGUGUGCGUGCGCGCAUCACCUUGGAUGAAACAAACAGGCCCUAGAGUGUGCUUGUGAGAGAGAGAGAGAGAGAGAGAGGGAUGCAAUAUGUAAAGAUUACAGAGACAGGAGUUGGACUGAAAAGAAGAGAAGGUGGAGAGUAGGUUUUGAUGAGACAAGAUGGAGUGGGUUAGGUUUGCCCAAAAGAGAAAUCAGAAGAAGAGUCGGCAGUUCAAAAGGUGAGAGUGCAGAGUUAAAUUGCAGAUAAGUUUUGCAGGGCAAUUAAGUGGCCAGCGAAGAUCCCAACAGUAGUACUUCAAGCAUUAAGCUCUCCUGCCAUUCUGUUUCUGCAGUGUUUGGGCUAGAACACAUUUUCUGCAGUUCGGUAUAAAAAUCUUCGUAUAUUUUAAUGCAUUUUGAUGGAGAUGAGCGGCGAUAUCAACUCAUGCAUGCGGGAUUGCACCCAAAGUACAUCAUUUCUAUCUUAAGGAUAUUGAAGAAUACUUAUAAACACAGGAAAGCUAAAGAUAUACUUCUUAUUCUCCCAAAUAACAUAGUUGAUAUUUGAAAUUUGUAUAGAAGCUAUCAUUCUAUUUCCAAAAUAGGCCUAUAUUCUAACCGCUAUUUUCAGUCAAACACAAUUUGAGUUAAAUCUAGAAAAUAAAUUCUAGUUUGAGAUAUCUCGCUAUUCCCUCAAUAAAAAACUCCACAGAUUUCUUAACUUACAAUCGCCAAAUCUAGGGACCCCCUUAUUCAAUUCAGAUGGGAAUAGUUGAUCCACCAUUUUAUUUGGUAGGAUAGUAGAGAUUAGUCACUAUCUCCUAUUGAAUUCCCCAACAAUUAUUCUCAAUCCUAGAGGGCUCUAGCUUAAAUUAAUUUAAAUGCAAACCACCAAUAUAUUAUCUACUACAACUAGGGAGCCUACAUACGAAAAAAUCAUAAGAAAGCCUAUUAUCUGCAAACAAACAAGUUUUGAAAAUCAAAUAGUGUAUAAAAAGAGUUAUUGUUAGCCACAUCCAGUAUUUUGAAAUUUUGUUUUAUAUCCUGUAAAAUGAAAUUUCUUUUUUUUUGAGAAUAAAAAAAAAAAAAAAAUUCAUUUUACAGGAUAUAAAACAAAAUUUCAAGAGCUGUAAAAUGAAAUUUCAGAAAAUGGGCUCAUGUGGGGGGACCAGGUGGAGGACAUAAUAUGUCUAGUUCAAGAGCUGUUGGGAUGAAAUGGAAAGUAGUGAUCAAUUAAAUGGAGAGAUGGGUUUCCUUUUAAAGAUGGUUCAAGAGUUGUUCCGCAAGAUGAUCUUACAUUUAAUACUCCUUUGCUGGCACCUAUAUACACAUAAUAUAUACUCCAAUAUACAACUCUACAAAAACUGAAUCCCAUCAGGCUAAGUUCAUAAAUUUCCGGAACGACCAUAGGCAGAUCUGUAUCCCGAUAGCCUUUAUUCUCUUGCUAAUUUUCUCUUUUAUUUUUAUUAUUAUUAUAUUUAUAGAUCAUCCGAGUGUAGAUAAAAUCUAAUGAAAUGCACAACUAGCAGGUUAAUGCUAGUUAUAUACUUGGGCCUUGUUUGGUGAGUACAAUAUGAUGACAACUUAGGAUGAAAAUAUCUUUGUGUAAUUGAAAGGUAGAGGUUUGAUUUUUGCUCCUUAAAAAAUCUUGAACAUCCAUAAUUUAGUACGAUAAUAUAUUUUAUUUAUAAUACAAUCUAUAUUAUUAUGAAAAAAUAACUUGUAGCCCGAAUAUACUAUUCCAUUCGGAACAUUUGACCACAUUUCUAACUUCAAAUAAGAAAAUCCUCAUACCGAGUUGGAUAUCAUUGAAUAACUUAUUCCGAUGGCCAAACAUGAUCUUAAGCCCAGUUUGGAUGUCGGAAUAAUUUAUCCACAGAUAAUUUAUUUUUAUUGAGAAUAUUUUAGUAUGAUUGUAAGUGAAUAUGAUUUUUUACUUCUUCAAAAAUCUUCUCGCUAUCCAUAAUUUGGUAAAAUAUUGUAUAUUUUACCUAGGAGGUCAUUUAUCUUAUUCUGAAAAAAAUAAUUUAAAGUUUGAAUAUAUAAUACUUUAUUCUAAAUAUUUGACUUAUCAAUCAAAUAUAUAAACUUUUUGAGUAAAUCAAAAUGUUCAUGCAUGUAAACAACGGAGUCAAUAUCCAAAGAGCUAAACAGAACAUCAAAAACACUCAUCAUAAAGAGGGGGAGAAAUUGUACAAUCACUAUGAUGUCAUGAAUGAUGUCACGCUAAUAAAGAUGAAAAAAUAUGCGAAGUAUAUCAGCACGUUUUAGAUCUACUAGUAGGUGGCAAUGUCAUUAAAGUUCUUCGUGUUAUCACUUGGUACAGUACUUAUCAUGACAUAUUGAUUUAGGUCAACCAAGAGUUUGUUGCCUCGCUUUCAUGUUCUGUCCAAUCACUCACUUUUGUGAGAUUGCUUGGUUCGAUUGGAACUUCUUCAGAAAUAGGUGCUUUUCAAAUACUUGUUUCAAAUGCUACGCCAAAUAGGCAUUGUAUCUUGUCUAAUAAAUACAAGUAAUUAACACUUGGCGUACACAAAAUCUAACAUUUCUAAAGCAACAUUUAAAAUCACAGUUAUUAUACUUUACGUACACAAAAUCAAACAUUUCUAAGGCAACAUGUAAAAACAGGUUAUGGUAACAGCUAUACUAUCUGUACAAGUACAUUAACAGUAUUUAUACCGACCGUCCCUAGAGCAAGUGGUAAAAGGCUUGGUGGUUGGUACCCGAGACCUAAGUUCGAAUCCUAGUUGAUUCACAUUUCUCACUAAGUUUAUUUCUAAAUAAAAUAAAUGUAGCGGGUAACGUACUGCUAUCUAUCUCUAAAAAAAAAACAUUAUUUAUGUUCCUGGAAGCAUAUAGGUUGAUGAAGAACCACCAAAUAAUAAAAUACAAUAAAAAUUCUGGGAGAAAACAUAAACUCUUUGGUAUAUUCUUUUCCAUUCUAAGAGCUAUUUCCUGGAUUGUUCAAACCCGCUUGAAGGAAAUCAAAAGCAGGUAAAAUUUUAUAGACUUUACCUAAAGUAUAAUGCAUUUUAAAAUGCACAACUGAACUUUGAAAGUCCUAAUUGCACUAUCUAACCUAAGAGUGUAUUUGGUUUAAGUAUCUCUUGGUCAAAAGUUAACGGUGUUUUUUAACUUAUUUCAUAGAAUAUUUAUAACCUAUUCUACAACUUAUUUUACUAACACUGAUUGACUUCAACAGAACUUAAUGGAAUUUUCUAAGAGAAAAAAAUUGACAAAAAAAUAAGCAGUAAUAUCAAAUUUGCAAAGCUCAGAACAUCAUUUCAAAGCACAUGAUAUUGUUCACGUCAGGCCUGCAAAGUUUUACCUAAAAGGGAACAAAUCAUCUUAAAGAGAUAGCUGACAAGUAGAAAGAACCAAGCCACAAAAAUGUUACCAGUCACAAAGAAAAGGAAGUUUGAACUGCAGAGCUUGUGGGCACUUACAUUGCUUUUUCUCGGCUUUUUGCCAUUUGAAAUGGAACCACCAUUCACAUGACAUUAUGACCAAUCAAGAAGGCACCUGCAUUAUAGUAGGAACCACAAGGUUCAGAAGGUUUCAACAGGGUUUGUGGGCAUUUAGAUUGAACUCUAAAAGCAAGCAAAAUUAAAAAGCGCUUAAUAGCAUUUAUGGGAAUAAAGAUAGAACUCUGAAAACAAGCACGGAAUCACGAACAAUUUAUAUGAAAUUGUAGCACCUCAAUAUGCAGAGUGGAAAUUAAUAGGUAUGAGCCCUUGUAUCCGAAUUAAUUACAUGUGCGUAAAUUUCAUAACAAGACAUAUGCCAUUUAUCAAUUAUAGCUUUUCAUAUUACAUAUAAUCUUUUAAGUAAAAUUGGCUUCACAAAAAUAAACUAGCAACAAUUACCAAAUUUGUUUCAGAUAAAAUCUUCUGUAUGAAUAAGAUGUUCUGAUCUUUUAGAUAGUAGCUUAUUUCUGAUUUAUCUAGUAAAUUAGUAGACUGAUGUACAUAUCUCAUGUGUAUCUACUCUUGGAUUACCAGCAUAAUAUAAUGCUAGGGUCUGAAGUUUACUCACAAACAAAAAUUGAAAAUUUCAGUGCGACUCGACUAACUGAUUUUAAGCAGAAUCCUUGGUGAGAGUCCAGUAACUCCAGUUUCUGGCCAAUAUCAUAGUCGUAGUGUUCCAAUUCUGACACCUUAAUUUAGUCUAAAGAAAAGAAAAAAAAAAAAAGCCUGACUUCUUAAGACUUCGAUAAUAAUUGGUAGAUAGGCAUAGUAAACUAGACAGGAAACAAAGAGAACAAACGACAAGUUUCCAAAUGUUAAUUUCCUUCAACACACAUUACUGGGCUUUCCCCCAAUUUUUCUACAAUGUCCAUUUACAACGUCCACUGGCCCAGUCUGUAGAAAUUUAGUUGGCCCUAAGUCGGGUUAGCAGUAUUCGAUUAUAAAUUACCACCUCUCAUUAGUUCCAAAGAGUCCUAUUUCCUAUCAAAUCCUCAUGGAUGUUGCAGAAUUUGAUAACAACCAAAUAAGGACGACAAGAACAAAUAAUCAUAUUUGCCUACAAAAUGACCAAUUGUCCUCAAAAGCAGUGGUUUUAGUUUAGUCAGAGCCUCAGAGAAGAGGAACUACCAUCUUGCAUAAGAUCUGUACUUCACAUACUUGUAAGAUAGAAAACGUAAUGCCUCAGCGCAUAUUCGUAUGCUAGUACCUACUUGUUACUUACUCUAAUAAUAAACAAUAAACUGUCUUCUAUUUUUCAAAUAAAUACCAAUUCGAAAGCAACCCUAAUUGGAAAAUAUUCUCGCUUGAUGUUUAUAGAGAUCUUAUCAUAAAUAAAACAAAUGAAUCACUAGAAAAAGCUAAAAAGAGUGAGCUAGAGACACACCAAGGAUUGAUUUAGAGAAGAAAUAAUAUUUGAAACACAAAAUUUGAGAAUAUUUGAUCAUCAAAAGGAAUUACGGAUGUUUAUAAAACAUGAUGUAACUCAAUAGAAGAACCUUAUGUUCAGUAGAAAGAUCACUCAAAAUAGAGUUAACGAUUAUGAACAAGGUGCUCUAUUUUGUGCUUGCAGAGAUUUUUAUGAAAUAGAAUGUUUAUUGAUUGAAUUUUCUUUUUUUGGGGGUAAAUUUAUUGGGGUGAACCCUGCAAUUUUAUUGAAGAAUGAGAGAGGUAGUAACAAGCCCAGUCCAGCUAAGGCCCAAAUGGACCAGGAGAAAGAACGGAGAAGAAAGAAAUAAUGAAAGAAAAGAAAAACGGUACAUUGAGGGUUCUAAUGUUGCAUAAUCUCCCAGUUUUUCAGGGCACAGAACAGCCUGUAGACGGUAGAUGGUGCUUACCAUAAUCACAACUAGAAUAACUAUUUGCUCCGCCAACGGUGCAAGUCUACAAAUAAGAGCCUUGUCGUUUCAGCAAACUGCGACAAACACUUUAUAACUAGUAAUGCAUGACCUAGCACGGAUAAGAUAAUGUAUAAGUUGUUAAAAAAAACACGUCCUAGUGCCUCGCUCACAUAGCACAACCCUUCAAAAGGACAUGGCGAAAUGCUCAGAAAUUACCAAAACUUAAUGUUAUCUAUCAACAAAAAGUGAAUUUGGAAUGGCAUCCGCAGCUACUCGUAAUACUCCACGAAAAGGGACAAAAAAGUGAAGCUAAAACAUUGUUUUAGCCUCGUUAAGCAUCGAACUUGUGAAUUCGGUAAAAAAAUAACACACCCAAAAAUUUAAAAAUGGCGGCAUAACUAGGCACAUUUCAUGACCAAAAUAUUCUAGUUGGCGAAGAUGUGGCUUCUGCAAGCAUCACAAGAAUUUAGCCGCCGAUCUAGUAGAACAUUUCAAUUUUUCUUUUAAAGCGCGAUCCGAAAGAGCGAAAGUCACAUUUCCUGGCAGUCCACUCAUACUAUUUCAAUUUACUAGAUGAAAAUCAUCAGUUCAAAUCUGAAAAAGAGCUGUCUUCACUGAAAUCAAUUUUCGACUUUAAUUAUCAUCAAAAACUCUCCAUCACUUUGAAAAAGUGAAAGAAUAGAAGACCAUAGAUAGACAACUCAUGACACAGCAAAAGAGUUUUACCUGACAGAAUCUGAAACUUACAAAUUAAAUUUCUUUAUUUUACGCACCACAUCAACUCAACAGAGACAAAUGACAAAAGAACAGGGAUAUAGCAUGGUCGAGAAAAGAACAUCUACCAUUAUCCUCAAAGCUUCUCUCCAAACAUGUAUUAAGCAUAUUAAGUAGGUAAAACACGAAUGGAACUAUCUGAACUAUAUAACCCAUUUUGAUCCGACUACUCAACCUAAAAAAAUUUGGCUUUUUUUACCUGUCAUUCAAUUCCUUGAUUUGAACCAUUUGAUGUGCUCUUUUGUUACAAAAUUUGGAUGUGUCACACACUUGAGUGGUAACACAGUUAAGUGAAUCAUGCGUGAUACUCUAAUCAGAGUUCUGAAGUGAAAGAACAGUUAAAUGGCUCAAAUCAAAGGAUUCAAAAGGCUAGGGUGGGAUCCGAUUUCAUCUAUCAAGUACAUCUAACAUAGCCUGUUGUUGAUGUACACCUUAGGUAAAUUACAUAGCAGCGCAAAACUCCUCCAGAAGAGAACUCAGGGUACUAAUAUCGAAAAUUCUCUGAGACCAAAAAGGUAACAAACAAAAUCUCUCAUCAAAAUUUCUUGCUGAAACAGCUUGGUUCAAAGCACCUGCGUUGGUCCACAGCAGGUCGAUCGCAAUCCCUCGCAUCCUCUUCGCGAAAUCAACAACUCGUCAAGGGCGAUCGAUCAUGGCGAUAAGGACGCCGCCAUUGAUGAGAGCGUCGGAGGAGAGAAAGGCGCACUUUUAGGGCAAAGUGAAGAGGAGGAGGACGACGACGAUGGAGAGGGAGGAGGAGGAGGACGACGAUGUUUUUCUCCGACUCUCCCACCUACGUCUUUUCUCCGACUUAUUUUCUCUAAACACGCGUAGAAUGAAGUCGGCGAAUGUAAGGUUCCUCGGCACCGAAUUCUAGUGCCAAAGUCGGCAGUAUAGAAUGCUUCGUUGCCUGUUUUAUGAAUCCCGCUUUUAGCCACCGACUCCAGAAGUCUGCAAAAAAUGGUGUUUUGUUGCCGACUCCCAUGGUUGGAGACCAAUUCAGC